rnacentral:rRNA from 1 species
AAAAUUUAUUUUAUUAAUAUAUUUUUUAUAUUUUUAUAUUUUAUAAAAAUAAUUUAUUUAUUUUAUGUUUUAGUAUUAAUUAAAAAUUAAUUUUAAGAUUUAUAGUUUAAAAGUAUUGUGAAAGAAUUAAUUAAAUUUUUUAAAGAAUAUAUUUAGUACCUUUUGUAUCAGGGUUAAUUAAAAAUUUUAAUUUAUUUUUAAAUUCUCAAAAUUUAUAGAGUUAAUUUUAUUAUUAAGUUAUUGUAAUAUAAAUAUUUAAAAAAUAAUUUUAGUUUUGAAAUUUAAUUCGUUAUAUUAUAUUUAGUUAUUUAAGAUUUAAAUUUAAUUUAAAAUUUUAAAAGUUAUAUUAAUUUAAUUUAUUAAUAUUUUAAAUUUAAAUUAUUUUAGGGAUAAGCUUGAAAUUUUUAUAAAAUAAAUUUUUUAUAUUAAUAAUUUAUAGGAAUAGAAAUUUUUAUUUAAGUUUGUAAAAAUUUAUUAUUUAUUUAAAUUUGAUUUAUUAUAAUUUAUUUAUUUUUAUUAUUAAAUUUUAUUAAUUAAUAUUAUAUUUUUAGUAAUAAUGAUUAAAUUAGUAUAAUUUUAAAUUAUAGAUUAUGAAUUUGGCAAAAAUUAUUUUCAUCUGUUUAACAAAAACAUUGUAUUAAGUUUUAUUUAAUAUAGGAUCUGCUCAAUGAUUAAUUAAAUAGCUGCAGUAUUUUGACUGUGCAAAGGUAGCAUAGUAAUUAGUCUUUUAAUUGAGGACUUGAAUGAAUGAUUUGAUGAAAAAUAAACUUUAUUAUUUAUAAAAUUAAAAUUUUAUUUUUAAGUAAAAAAGCUUAAAUUUUUUAAAGGGACGAUAAGACCCUAUAAAACUUUAUAAAUAUUAAUUUUUAAAUAUUUGGUUAAAUAAUUAUUUAAUUUUUAUUAUUUAUUUUGUUGGGGUGAUAAAAAAAUUAAUAAACUUUUUUUAAAAUUUUACAUUAUUUUAUGAUUUAUUGAAUUAAAAUUUUUAAUUAUAAGAAAAAGUUACUUUAGGGAUAACAGCGUAAUUAAUUUUUUAAGUUCAAAUUUAAAAAUUAGUUUGCGACCUCGAUGUUGAAUUAAGAUUAAUCUUAGGUGCAAAAUUUUAAGUAUUAGGUCUGUUCGACCUUUAAUUUCUUACAUGAUUUGAGUUCAAACCGGUGUAAGCCAGGUUGGUUUCUAUCUUUUAAUUAUUUAUUUAUUUUAGUACGAAAGGAUUUGAUAAUUAAAUUAAUUUUUUAAUGAAUUAAUUUUAUUAAUUU